AGGCCAACGUUAUAGCUAUAUCAGAGAGGCUUUCCAGUUUGAUUUGUUGUAUCUAUUGAACAACAUGUGGAUCAAACAAGGUUGAGCAGCUUGCCGUCCACCUGUUUCUCAAGUGCAACGAAGCAGAAGAAAGCUUCUCUGACAAUUUGAAAGGGAACUACCACCAAUUUAGAAGGAAAUGAUUGUGCACCGUCCAACCUGAUGCCACUUAAACUACAUCAGAGAGCAAUCCUCCAUCACUUAGUGUUCCGCGUCUGUCAAUCUUCCGAUUUGAAAUGAUUUUAGGAUUCAAGAGGAUGACGUGUGCAAGAAUACGUGUUUGUACGUGCAUUUCCAUAGGCCCACACCUACGAGGCCAAAGCAUGGCACAGCUGUCAGAUUCAGGAAAGGCACAUCAGCCGGGAAGUCGUUGUGAGGGGAGAACAAUAUCAUCACAGGCCUAUCAAGUCACAUGGAUCUUCAGUUUGAUCAAACACCUGGAGAGGCCAGGAUGCCAUUAAGCCCUUGGCGGAUCUUGU